rnacentral:rRNA from 1 species
GCAAGUCGAACGCUCUCGAUCUUCGGAUCAAUGAGAGAGUGGCGAACGGGUGAGUAACACGUAAGAAACCUGCCCCAAAGUUGAGGAUAACCAUUGGAAACGAUGGCUAAUACUGAAUAGGACGAUAAACCACAUGGUUAUUCGUUUAAAGGUGCGUUUGCACCGCUAUGGGAUGGUCUUGCGCUGCAUUAGCUAGUUGGUGAGGUAACGGCUCACCAAGGCGAUGACGGGUAGCUGGUCUGAGAGGACGAUC